rnacentral:rRNA from 1 species
AACGAACGCUGGCGGCAUGCCUAACACAUGCAAGUCGAACGAGACCUUCGGGUCUAGUGGCGCACGGGUGCGUAACGCGUGGGAACCUGCCCUUAGGUUCGGAAUAACUCCCCGAAAGGGGUGCUAAUACCGGAUAAUGUCUUCGGACCAAAGAUUUAUCGCCUUUGGAUGGGCCCGCGUUGGAUUAGCUAGUUGGUAGGGUAAAAGCCUACCAAGGCGACGAUCCAUAGCUGGUCUGAGAGGAUGAUCAGCCACACUGGGACUGAGACACGGCCCAGACUCCUACGGGAGGCAGCAGUGGGGAAUAUUGGACAAUGGGCGAAAGCCUGAUCCGGCGAUGCCGCGUGAGUGAUGAAGGCCUUAGGGUUGUAAAGCUCUUUUACCCGGGAUGAUAAUGACAGUACCGGGAGAAUAAGCUCCGGCUAACUCCGUG